GAUGAACGCUGGCGGCGUGCCUAAUACAUGCAAGUCGAGCGAACGGACGAGAAGCUUGCUUUUCUGAUGUUAGCGGCGGACGGGUGAGUAACACGUGUAUAACCUACCUAUCUUACUGGUAUAUCUUCGGGAAACCGGAUCUAAUACCGUAUAAUAUUUUGAACCGCAUGGUUCAUUAGUGAAUUACGGUCUUGCUGUCUCUUAUAGAUGGAUCCGCGCUGCAUUAGCUAGUUGGUAAGGUAACGGCUUACCAAGGCAACGAUGCAUAGCCGACCUGAGAGGGUGAUCGGCCACACUGGAACGGAGACACGGUCCAGAGUCCUACGGGAGGCAGCAGUAGGGAAUCUUCCGCAAUGGGGGAAAGCAUGACGGAGCAACGCCGCGUGAGUGAUGAAGGUCUUCGGAUCGUAAAACUCUGUUAUUAGGGAAAAACAUAUGUGUAAGUAACUGUGCACAUAUUGACGGUAACUAAUAAGAAAGCAACGGCUAACUACGUG
rnacentral:rRNA from 1 species